AUAAGCAUAUCAAUAAGCGGAGGAAAAGAAACCAACAGGGAUUGCCCCAGUAACGGCGAGUGAAGCGGCAACAGCUCAAAUUUGAAAUCUGGCCCCUUUGGGGUCCGAGUUGUAAUUUGCAGAGGGAGCUUUUGGCGUCGGUCGUGGUCUAAGUUCCUUGGAACAGGACGUCACAGAGGGUGAGAAUCCCGUACGUGGCCGCCGGCCUUCGCCUUGUAAAGCCCCUUCGACGAGUCGAGUUGUUUGGGAAUGCAGCUCUAAAUGGGAGGUAAAUUUCUUCUAAAGCUAAAUACCCGCCAGAGACCGAUAGCGCACAAGUAGAGUGAUCGAAAGAUGAAAAGCACUUUGGAAAGAGAGUGAAAAAGCACGUGAAAUUGUUGAAAGGGAAGCGCUUGCAGCCAGACGUGCCCGCGGUUGAUCAUCCAGGCUCCAGCCUGGUGCACUCCUCCGCGGGCAGGCCAGCAUCAGUUCGGGCGGUCGGAUAAAGGCCUCUAUCACGUACCACCCCUCGGGGUGGCCUUAUAGGGGAGGCGCAACACGGCCAGCCCGGACUGAGGUUCCGCGCAUCUGCUAGGAUGCUGGCGUAAUGGCGGCAAGCGGCCCGUCUUGAAACACGGACCAAGGAGUCUAACAUCUAUGCGAGUGUUUGGGUGUCAAGCCCGAGCGCGCAAUGAAAGUGAACGGAGGUGGGAACCCUCACGGGUGCACCAUCGACCGAUCCUGAUGUCUUCGGAUGGAUUUGAGUAAGAGCAUAGCUGUUGGGACCCGAAAGAUGGUGAACUAUGCCUGAAUAGGGUGAAGCCAGAGGAAACUCUGGUGGAGGCUCGCAGCGGUUCUGACGUGCAAAUCGAUCGUCAAAUUUGGGCAUA
rnacentral:rRNA from 1 species